CUAAGAAUAUUCCGCAAUGGACGGAAGUCUGACGGAGCGACGCCGCGUGGAUGACGAAGGCCGAAAGGUUGUAAAGUUCUUUUGCUGGGGAAGAAUAACCGCAGGAGGGAAUGCCUGUGGGAUGACAAGAACCGGCGAAUAAGCCCCGGCCAACUACGUGCCAGCAGCCGCGGUAACACGUAGGGGGCGAGCGUUGUUCGGAAUUACUGGGCGUAAAGGGCAUGUAGGCGGCUUGGAAAGCCUGGCGUGAAAGUCUGCAGCUUAACUGAAGGGGUGCGCUGGGAACUGCUGAGCUUGAGUGACGGAGAGGGAGCUGGAAUUCCUGGUGUAGGGGUGAAAUCUGUAGAUAUCAGGAAGAACACCGAUGGCGAAGGCAAGCUCCUGGCCGAUGACUGACGCUGAGGUGCGAAAGUGUGGGGAUCAAACA
rnacentral:rRNA from 1 species